rnacentral:rRNA from 1 species
UCCAGACUCCUACGGGAGGCAGCAGUGGGGAAUAUUGGGCAAUGGGCGCAAGCCUGACCCAGCAACGCCGCGUGAAGGAAGAAGGCUUUCGGGUUGUAAACUUCUUUUAAGAGGGAAGAGUAGAAGACGGUACCUCUUGAAUAAGCCACGGCUAACUACGUGCCAGCAGCCGCGGUAAUACGUAGGGGGCAAGCGUUAUCCGGAUUUAUUGGGUUUAAAGGGUGCGCAGGCGGCGUGUCAAGUCAGCGGUAAAAUGUCGGGGCUCAACCCCGGCCGGCCGUUGAAACUGGCGUGCUCGAGUUGGAGAGAAGUAUGCGGAAUUCGUGGUGUAGCGGUGAAAUGCAUAGAUAUCACGAAGAACCCCGAUUGCGAAGGCAGCAUACCGGCUCCACACUGACGCUGAGGCACGAAAGCGUGGGUAUCGAACAGGAUUAGAUACCCCCGUA